CAGCAGCCACGGGAAUACGUAGGGUGCAAGCGUUAAUCGGAUUUACUGGGCGUAAAGCGUGCGUAGGCGGCUUCUUAAGUCGGAUGUGAAAUCCCUGAGCUUAACUUAGGAAUUGCAUUCGAUACUGGGAAGCUAGAGUAUGGGAGAGGAUGGUAGAAUUCCAGGUGUAGCGGUGAAAUGCGUAGAGAUCUGGAGGAAUACCGAUGGCGAAGGCAGCCAUCUGGCCUAAUACUGACGCUGAGGUACGAAAGCAUGGGGAGCAAACAGGAUUAGAUACCCCGGUAGUCCUGUCUCUUAUACA
rnacentral:rRNA from 1 species